CAGCCGCCGCGGGAAUACGAAGGGGGCUAGCGUUGUUCGGAAUUACUGGGCGUAAAGCGCACGCAGGCGGCUCGAUAAAUUAGAAGUGAAAGCCUUGGGCUUAACCUGAGAAUUGCUUUUAAGACUGUCGAGCUAGAAUCCAGAAGAGGGUAGUGGAAUUCCGAGUGUAGAGGUGAAAUACGUAGAUAUUCGGAAGAACACCAGUGGCGAAGGCGACUACCUGGUCUGGCAUUAACGCUCAUGUGCGAAAGCGUGGGGAGCAAACAGGAUUAGAUACCCCGGUAGUCCCUGUCUCUUAUAU
rnacentral:rRNA from 1 species